rnacentral:rRNA from 1 species
CUACGGGAAGGCAGCAGUAGGGAAUCUUCCACAAUGGACGAAAGUCUGAUGGAGCAACGCCGCGUGAGUGAUGAAGGUUUUCGGAUCGUAAAACUCUGUUGUAAGGGAAGAACAAGUACGAGAGGAAAUGCUCGUACCUUGACGGUACCUUGCGAGAAAGCCACGGCUAACUACGUGCCAGCAGCCGCGGUAAUACGUAGGUGGCAAGCGUUGUCCGGAAUUAUUGGGCGUAAAGCGCGCGCAGGCGGCCUUUUAAGUCUGAUGUGAAAGCCCCCGGCUCAACCGGGGAGGGUCAUUGGAAACUGGAAGGCUUGAGUACAGAAGAGAAGAGUGGAAUUCCAUGUGUAGCGGUGAAAUGCGUAGAGAUGUGGAGGAACACCAGUGGCGAAGGCGACUCUUUGGUCUGUAACUGACGCUGAGGCGCGAAAGCGUGGGGAGCAAACAGGAUUAGAUACCCUGGUAGUCCCCACCGUGAACGAUGAGUGCUAAAUUCAAAGGGAUUGCGCCCCUCCCAAAGCAAAUGAAGCGACAGCAUUCCA